AGCUCACCGGGGGUGCCCGUCCUACGUUCGCAACGUAGAAGUCGGCGGUUCGAGUCCGCUCACCUCCA
rnacentral:tRNA from 1 species